GUGUGCGUCGGCGGGUGAGCAGCAGCAGCAGCAGCAGCGCGGCCAGGAGGCCGAGGAGCACGGCCCAGGACAUGGCACGGCCGGCGCUGCGGGCGGCGGCGGCGGCGACGCUCGGCGGGGCUCGGCGGCCGCGGACCCACCCCAGGACACAGCACAAGGCGCUGGCCAGAAGCCAACCAGAUGCAGCCUCCUGAUCCUGGACUUCCCAGCCUCCAGAACUAGCUUCCUGGGAUCACCUCCCAGAUGAAUUCCCUAUCCUUGAGUCCUCGAUGUGCCUGCUUCUGGACAGGGGCCAAGCCAAGACCAGGAAACCAGUCAGUGGCUCGGGACACUGUGGCUCUUGUCAAGCAGCACUCUUCUCUUCUCUGCGGCCUGGGUCUUCCAGAGGGAUGAGGAGGUCAAGAGGCUGGUGGGUCACUGGAUCCUCACCCUAAGGAGGCUGGUGAUCACAGGGUGAUUCUUGGACUUGCAUUUGCUGUCACUGUGCAUGGACUUCAGGGAAAGCCUGGAGCCUCUAAGCCAAGCCAUUUUACAGAUGAUGAAACUGAUUCCCAAAGGGGUCCCAUUUGCCUAAGGUCACCCAGCCAGGAGGUGGAAGAGCCUGAAGUUGACCCCAGAUCUGUCUGACUCCAGACCCAGUGCUCCAAACACCUCUGCUCUACCAGCAUUUUGUCACACUCCAGGGGUCCCACUCUGCGGCAUCCCUUUGCCCCCAGACCUCUAACACAUGGAAAGAGAUGGAGCUCCCAGGGAGUUCAGAAGAGCUGAGUGGGGAUACUGAAAACUGUUACACUGUAAUUACUAUUUAUUGAGCACCUAUAUGUGCCAGGCUUUGGUUCCUGUGCUUUACAUAUGUUGUCUCAUAUGUUCCUUAAAACCACUCACUUUUGUCACCUUACACAGAAAAAACUGGGACUCAAAGAAGGCAGGGAAAUUCCCAAGUUCACAUGGUAGACAUCUUAAGCAGGACUCUAUCAGAUGAAAGUGACAGAAUCCUGACUCAAAUCAGCUUAUGCCAGGAAGGGAAUUUAUGUUAGAAAGGGAAUUUGUGUCAGAUAUAUUCAAUAAAAGCAGGGGUGUGUAGGCUUCAGGCAUGGCUGGAUCCAGAUGCUCAGACAAUGCCUCUGGCUCUUUCACUCCAUGCAGGCUUUCUGCGGGAUGUGACCACGGUUGCCCCUCCCAGCUCCCAGUUUUUGUCCCACCAGCUCAGCAACCCCAGAGAAAAGGAAGCAUCUAUUUCCAAUUGUUCCAGAACAAGUUCUGUAGCAAUGCUGCUCAAAAAAUAAUGCACACAUGAGUCUCCAGGGGACCGUAUUCAAAUGCAGAUUCCAGCUCAGUAGGACUGGGGUAGAAACUGAGAUGCUGCAUUUCUAACAAGCUCCCAGGUGAUACCUAGGCUACUGAUCUGUGGACCUCAGUUUGAGUUGUGGGGUCUUUGUGUGAUGCCAUUUCUCUCAAUUAAAAACAUAUUCUGCACACACAUAAACCCCUAUUGCUGCAUGCCAAGUAUUCUACAUAAAAUAAUUCAUCACUGUUUGCAAGGAUGUAAGAGGUAGUUGCUGUCAUUACUACGUUUCUCUGCAAAGCCUAAACACUUUCUCAAGGCUGCACAGCCAGGAAGCAGCAGAGUUGAGAUUUGACCUCAGGUAUUGGAUUUUUCAAUUAUAGCCCCUAUUACAGUCCCUGUUGGUGGCCCUUCAAGCUGUCUCCAGUUCUUUUCUCUCACAAAAACCCUGAAGUGAACAACCCAUAGAUGUGUGUUUGUAAGCAUGUACCAGUAUGUAUGUGAGAUAGAUUCACAGAUGUGAAGUUGUCACAUUGAAAGAUGGGUGUGCAUUUCUAUUAUUGUUGGGUGCUGCCAAAAGGGAGAGACUGCUCAUUUCCCACCUCCAUGCCAGCACUGAUGUUAUUGUUUUUCCCAGCCUGGUGAGUGAGAGGUGCCGUUCCUUACAGCCCUAGGAAGGUCAUGAACACCGAGAAGGGAGUCAUGGCCCACCCCAGGCAUGCAGCCUCCUUCCUGGAACAGGUCAUUGGGGGAGCGCCCUGUGCCAGCCCACCUCUCGGCCUCCAGGUGUAGGAGAAAAGACACGCCAGUGCCUGAUUUUAUCCUGUUAUCAGCAACUUCAGUGGAAAGAGAUGGUCCCUUUAUGGGCUCAAUUGUGUCCCCCCAAAAUGCAUAUGUCGAAGUCCCAACCCCCAGUACCUCAGAAUGUGACCGUAUUUAGAGAUAGGGUCUUUAAGGGAGUGAUUAAGUUAAAAAUGAGGCUGUUAGGAUGGGCUUUAAUCCUCUGAUCUGCCCAGUGUCUUUACAAGAAGAGGAAGAGAAACCAGGGGUGCACACGUACAGAGGGACAACUAUGUGAAAAGCUAGUGAGAGGGCGGCCAUCUGCAAGCCAAGGAGGGAGGCCCCAAAGGAGACCAACCCUGCCAGCACCUUGAUAUUGAACUUCCAGCCUCCAGAACUGUAAGAAAAUAAAUUCUUGCUUGCUUAAGCCACCCAGUCUGUGGUAUCUUGCAAUGACAGCCUUAACAAAUUAAUAUAACCUCUUUCCCUACACACCUAAAAAACACCCAGGGAAGAUGCUCACUGGGCUGGCUUGGGUUACUUUCUAUCUGUUACCAAUUGCUGUGGCCACAGGAUUCUGAGCUCCAAUUAACCAGGCCUGGGUCAUGUGCUCAUCCCUGGAGCUGGGGAUGGGCUCAGCCGACCAACCUAAAUCCACUUUUACUUGUCUGGUUAU